GACGAACGCUGGCGGCGUGCUUAACACAUGCAAGUCGACGACGCUACUGAGUAGCAAUAUUUAGUAGUGGAGUGGCGCAAGGGUGAGUAAUGUAUACGUAACCAACCCAUCGGAGACGGAUAACAUUUCGAAAGGGAUGCUAAAACGGCAUGAAGCCACGAUUUCGCAUGAGAUUGUGGUUAAAGAACCGGUAACAGGUUGCCGAUGGCUGGGCGUAUAUCCGAUUAGCUAGUUGGUAGUGUAAUGGACUACCAAGGCGACGAUCGGUAGCUGGUCUGAGAGGAUGAUCAGCCACACUGGCACUGAGAUACGGGCCAGACUCCUACGGGAGGCAGCAGUGGGGAAUAUUGGGCAAUGCCCGCAAGGGUGACCCAGCAACGCCGCGUGGAGGAUGAAGGCCGUAAGGUUGUAAACUCUGACAAGCAGGGAAGAACGGCUAUGGUAAAAGGCCAUAGAAUGACGGUACCUGCCUGAAGCCCCGGCUAACUACGUG
rnacentral:rRNA from 1 species